AUCUUUCGAAGUAGAUCUUUCCCUCGAGUUCUGUGACUUGCACUAAACGGCUUGGAUGGGGAAGGGCAAGCGAGUGAAUUUUCCUUUAGAGUGGCUCAAGAAGUGGAACUACUAAGACUCGCGAGGGUCAUCCUUUCAAUAAAGACUUUUGUUCUAUUUAUUUAUGAAAUAAAUUGGUUACACGAGGUCUUUUAAUUGAUAGUCUUUAUCACUUGCAUGUUGAUGCGAAUGUAAACCCAAACGA
rnacentral:lncRNA from 1 species